UACCGCGGUUACACGAGAGACUCAAGUUAAUAGACUACGGCGUAAAGCGUGGUUAGGGGCCCUAACAACUAAAGCCAAAGAUCUUCUAUGUCGUCGCACGCACCGCGAAGAUACGAAGCCCAAACACGAAAGUUGCUUUAUUUACCCUGACCCCACGAAAGCUAAGACA
rnacentral:rRNA from 1 species